AGUAUAUGGGGGCAAAUCGAUACAAUCGAGAGUAUAAGGGGGUAAAGUGAUACCGAACCAAAGUAUAAGGGGGAAAAAUAAUUUACCCUUUCAUAAAUGAUUUGUGCAUACACAAAAUUGGACUUGCAGACACAUUUAUUCACUUGGCGUUUUUUGUAAUUUCAGAGGUUAGAUCAAACGGUGUUAAUGUCAAAUGUUUGUCAACUAACAAUGAUGGCCACAUUUAGACAAUUUUUGAAAUAUAUGUAGGCAAAUCGAUGCAAUCGAGAGUAGAAAAGAGUAAAGUGAAACCAAAUCAUAGUACCGGAAAGUGAAAUUUACCUUUCAGAAAACAUGUGGAAUUUAAAUAUCAUAUAAUAAUAAAAUAGAUAAAACAAUAAUAUAAUUAUAAUUAAAUUUAUCCACUACCUGGUGAGGAUGCUUCUUCUCUCCUCCUCGGAACCCUCCUCUGAAACCUCCUUCCACAAAUUUCGAAUCCUUAUAUAUAACUCACCUUCUUCUCACUCUCUUUUCCACUCAAUCCAAUUCAUUCAUUCUUUCCAAUUUCUUUACCAAUAAAAACUUCUUCGAUCUCAUACUGCAAGUUCCAUCCGAUAACCCUAAAAUCCGAAACCGAAACCUGAAACCCGAAACCGAAAGAAUGGCUUCAUCCGAUCACGAUCAAAGCUCGGCCCUCGAUAGCAUCCGCCAACACCUUCUUGAUGAUUUUGCCUUCAUGGAAAACUACUCUGCAGAUUUUUCAUUUGACAAUCAGUCGCAGAUUUCAAGAACUUCCAGCUCUUCUUCUUCUGAAUCAUCAUACUUUGAAUUUGAGACAAUUAAAUUACCGACGAAUCAGAAACAGAAGAGCUUCUCCGAGAGGAAGCCUUCGCUGAACAUAGCUAUUCCGAGCUGCAACUGGGUCUCCGGUCAGAGUUCCGGCCGGGAGGUGGUGGUGGUGGUUGAGCGAUCACCGGUUGCUCGAGAUCAAUGUUCCGGCGAGAGGAAGCAUUACAGGGGCGUGAGGCAGCGUCCUUGGGGUAAGUUCGCGGCGGAGAUACGCGACCCGAACCGGAAGGGGACCCGGGUCUGGCUCGGGACCUUCGACACGGCGGUGGAGGCUGCCAAAGCCUACGACAGGGCGGCGUUCAAGCUGAGGGGCCGUAAAGCCAUACUGAAUUUCCCUCUCGAAACCGGAAAUUUCAACACUUUGCCGGAAAAUGAGGCGGUGGCGGCGGCGGUGGUUGGAGGCCGGAAAAGGAGGAGGGGAGAGCGGCCGCGUAGAAAGAGAGGAGAAGCUAGUUAAGAGGGAAGAAGUUAAAAAUGAAAGUGAUUUCACGGCGGCGGCGGUGCCGUUGACGCCGUCAUAUUGGGCGGGGUUUUGCGACUGCGCUGAUGGGAAUGGGAUGGGUAUAUAUGACGUUCCGCUAUAGUCGCCGUUAUCUCCCCAUCCAAGUUUCGCGUAUUCAAGGAUGAUGGUCCUAUGAGGCGUAUUAUGAAAUUAGAUUUAGACUCAAAUGCACCUGACUUUAAAAGUUUGGGGUGGUUUUUCAAUUUACGAAAGUUUGUGGGAGGUAAAGAAGAUUAGUCAUUUGUUUAUUACUUUUGUACGAAGAUCGAUGCACGUGUCUUAAUCCACCCUCUAAUUCUAUUUUUUUUUUUAA